GGAAGUUAAGAAACUGUUUCUUAACUUUUAACUAAAAAAUGUAAGAAUCGGUUCUUAAAUAAAGACUUUAAGAACCGGUUCUUACAUUUUUUAGUUAAAAGUUAAGAAACAAUUUAUUAACUUCC
rfam:Brassica napus, WGS project CCCW01000000 data, contig: 13038